UGUGUUGUAGCUCAGUGGUAGAGCACUUGUUUAGCAUGGGUCAGACACUGGGUUUAAUCCUCAGCACCACAU
rnacentral:tRNA from 1 species